GAAACAUUUAGCGUGCCUUAGAUUAAAAGGGUUCAUUACUUUGCAAACUCUGUGCACUUGGUCUUUACUUGAACACUAGAGUUUAAAAAACGAAAUAAAAGACAAAACAUACACCAAGAAAUAGUUUGCGCACGAUUGCGAUGUUAUGGUUCGUUAUAUACGCGACAAUAUUAGUACUAUUUACUAUUUCUGUAGAGGUAUACAUUUCCACAAGGGAAUAAAGAUGUGCAUUUCUGCAGUUCUGCGGCUGCCGCCACAGUAUGCCUGGUCUA
rnacentral:lncRNA from 1 species